GACGAACGCUGGCGGCGUGCUUAACACAUGCAAGUCGAACGGAAAGGCCCUGCUUUUGUGGGGUGCACGAGUGGCGAACGGGUGAGUAACACGUGAGUAACCUGCCCUUGACUUUGGGAUAACUUCAGGAAACUGGGGCUAAUACCGGAUAGGAGCUCCUGCUGCAUGGUGGGGGUUGGAAAGUUUCGGCGGUUGGGGAUGGACUCGCGGCUUAUCAGCUUGUUGGUGGGGUAGUGGCUUACCAAGGCUUUGACGGGUAGCCGGCCUGAGAGGGUGACCGGCGACAUUGGGACUGAGAGACGGCGCAGACUCCUACGGGAGGCAGCAGUGGGGAGUAUUGCACAAUGGGCGGAAGCCUGAUGCAGCAACGCCGCGUGCGUGAUGACGGCUUUCGGGUUGUAAACCGCUUUCGCCUGUGACGAGGCGUGAGUGACGGUAAUGGGUAAAGAAGCACCGGCUAACUACGUG
rnacentral:rRNA from 1 species